GACGAACGCUGGCGGUGUGCUUAACACAUGCAAGUGGAGCGACGAACCAGGGCUUGCCCUGGGGCAGAGCCGCGAACGGGUGAGUAACACGUGGGUAACGUACCCCGAUAACCGGGACAACCCGAGGAAACUCGGGCUAAUACCGGAUGUGCUCUCCUCUCACGAGAGAGGCGAGUAAAGGAAGCUUCGGCCUCCGUAUCGGGAGCGGCCCGCGGCCUAUUAGUUUGUUGGUGGGGUAACGGCCUACCAAGACCGCGAUAGGUAGCUGGUCUGAGAGGACGACCAGCCACACUGAGACUGAGACACGGCCCGGACUCCUGCGGGAGGGAGCAGUGGGGAAUUUUGGACAAUGGGCGCAAGCCUGAUCCAGCCAUGCCGCGUGCGGGAAGAAGGCCUUCGGGUUGUAAACCGCUUUUGUCAGGGAAGAAACGCUCUGGGUUAAUACCCUGGGGUAAUGACGGUACCUGAAGAAUAAGCACCGGCUAACUACGUGCCAGCAGCCGCCGUAA
rnacentral:rRNA from 1 species